rnacentral:rRNA from 1 species
GAUGAACGCUGGCGGCAGGCUUAAUACAUGCAAGUCGAGGGGCAGCAUGAUUGUAGCAAUACAAUUGAUGGCGACCGGCAAACGGGUGCGGAACACGUACACAACCUUCCAAUAAGUGGGGAAUAGCCCAGAGAAAUUUGGAUUAAUACCCCGUAACAUAACGAUGUGGCAUCACAUUGUUAUUAUAGAUUUUUCGCUUAUUGAUGGGUGUGCGGCUGAUUAGAUAGUUGGCGGGGUACCGGCCAACCAAGUCUACGAUCAGUAGCUGAUGUGAGAGCAUGAUCAGCCACACGGGCACUGAGACACGGGCCCGACUCCUACGGGAGGCAGCAGUAAGGAAUAUUGGACAAUGGACGCAAGUCUGAUCCAGCCAUGCCGCGUGAAGGAUUAAGGUCCUCUGGAUUGUAAACUUCUUUUAUAAGGGACGAAAAAAGGCUUUUCUAAGUCGUCUGACGGUACCUUAUGAAUAAGCACCGGCUAACUCCGUGCCAGCCGCCGCCGUAACAC